AGUUGAUGUCAUUAUCUCUGAGUGGAUGGGCUACUAUCUCUUGAGAGAGUCCAUGUUUCAUUCCGUCAUAUCCACACGUGACCGCUGGUUAAAUCCAAGGUGGUGUAAUGUCGACAUCGACUGAGUACGAGCAGCCUUACGUCACAAGGGGGCGUGGAACUGCUGCAGCCCAUCGGUGACAGAGCAGACUCCAGCGACUUUGCCCAGCUAGGUACAUCCUCUACACGACUACACGGUAGCAACUUGAAGAAAAUUCUUCCUUUUUUGCUUCCAUGACCUGAUCUCCUCCUCGCUGAUGUAUCGAGGCGCCGUGACCCGGCCUCACAGGCAGGGCCAGGGCGAAGACGUAUCCCCGAUGGCCAAGACACGACCACGGUGGUGUAGCCUGAGACAGAGCAGACUCCAGCGACUUUGCCCAGCUAGAGAAGAGACAGAUCCAGAAAUGUUCAUACCCGGAGCAAAAGUCGCCUUCUUGAUGCUCCUAGCUUACACAAGGUACUCCUCGAAAAAAUUUCCUCCAGGUCUGGCUAAUUUGAUCCUAUGCUAUAUGUGAUGGGUGAAGGGAGAGCAAGGAGGGGGAGGAGGGAUGGCAGAGGUUAACAUAUAUAGCUUUUAUUAUGAAGUUAAGCUUGUAGACACACAUCUGAUCUGGUAGUUAUUUGUAUGAGUUCACAAGACAUUCGACAUGAAGCUUUUAGAAUACACCCCGUUCGACUGUACAUGUGUUUCUUGAUCAACUAAACCUUGGUGAAUGUACAAUCAGGGGGAGCCUUGAAGCCUUCUCAUGCAAAGCAUGCAGGAAAUGAUCGUUGGAUUUCAGUAAGACUUGAACAUGAGGAGGAGUUUCAUUUGACGCUCUUCAAGACAAGCAAGAAUGAGCGCAUGUUCGCUGAUUGUAGCGGCAACAUACACCGUGAGUUUUCACCAUACUCCAGGAAGCCAUUUCAUCAGUUUUUUGGCUUCUGACACACUCGGAGCAACAAUGAUACACCAAAGCAAGCAAAGAAGCCAAAAGAAGUUAAAUGUUUUUACCCGCUGCUGGCAUCCGAUGAGCAGUUGCAGGUGUCAACCAUAGUAUUGUUAUAUGAAGUGAGAGUUGCAUGUGCUGAUCUGAAGCUCCCUAAUGUGGCUGAUCUGGAGCUUAUACCCAUGUUAGGUAUGGCAGAAGCUGGUUGGUUACACAAGAUUUCUAAUUGAUUUAAUUAGGUAUGGCAGAAGCACAAGAUUUUGGAUGUCUUGAAGUGGUGAUCAGAGAGAAUAGGUCACUGAAGUGCAGUCACGUGCAUUGGCUUUCUCUGUGAAAGCAUCUCUGUGAAAGCACUCGCAUUAGGAGUAAAAUGUUCAUGGGAUGGCUGUAUGAGAUGCGAUGGCUGUAUGAGAUGAGAUGCGAUGGAUGUAUGAGAUGCGAUGGAUGUAUGAGAUGCGAUGGAUAUAUGAGAUGUAUGAGAUGCGAUGGAUGUAUGAGAUGCCAUGGCUGUAUCGAAUAAUACCUAUAUCUCGGAUCCUGGACGUGUUCGGGCCGGAUACUGGACGUGUCCGAUGGAGGGCGGCGAGUGAAGCGCCUUUGAUGUGCCAGGCCGGCGGCAAAGCGAUCUCUCGUCGGCGUCUCCUCGCCAGGAUCAGCGGCGGAUCCUGGACGUGUUCGGCGGCGGAUCCUGGACGUGUCCGAUGGAGGGCAGCGAGUGAAGCGCCGAUGGAGGCCGGCGGCGAAGGGAUGGAGCGGCGGCGGCGAAGGGACCAAUUUCUCCGGCGUUGGGAUGAAGGGCGGUGGCGAAGGGAGACCUCGCUCGAGGGCAGGAGACGUCGAUCGUACAUGCGUGCGAUUGGUUUAGGGUUAAUUUUCGCUGGUUAAUUUUCGUAGUUUUUUUUCGUUGGUUAAUUUUCGUAGAUUUUUUUCAUUGGUUAGGCACUGGAGUGCGUGGGGCGGGUUGAGGCCUCGGUACGAGGUUUUUUCGGUUCGUGGUGGCUCAGUCUGAGGUGAGAGGAGGUACCAAAAAAACCAUGAAAGGUGGGACUAAAAAAAAACUGGAAGCGAGACUACCAAUUGCUCCAUUAGGAGUAGAGAUACUAUGAAAAUAUGUCUCAUGGUCUAUCUAAUGAUAUGUGUUUGAUAUUCUUCAAAUACAUAAUUUUCUCUAUAAUCUUAGUGAAAGUUUGCUUAA